rnacentral:snRNA from 1 species
GGAUGUGAGGGCGAUCUGGCUGCGAAUUAUGUCACCCCAUUGAUCGCCAGGGUUGAUUCGGCUGAUUUGGCUGGCUAGUCGGGUGUCCCCUUCCUCCCUCACCGCUCCAUGUGCGUCCCUCCCGAAGCUGCACGCUAGGUUGAAAAGGACGGCCUUCCCCAAAUAGCUGCGCUCUCCUGCUAGAAC